rnacentral:tRNA from 1 species
AGGCCUGUAGCUCAGUGGUUAGAGCGCCGCUCUUAUAAGGCGGAUGCGGGUGGGUUCGACUCCCCCCAGGCCUA